rnacentral:misc_RNA from 1 species
CCGCGAGGCAAUAAAAUUAGACCAAAAAAACAUAAUUCGUUCAACUCGCUUUAAGAGAUGCCAUGAUUUUCAUAGCAAUAUAUACUGAAGUAAAUAAGGUGAUGUAAAAGACUUAAAACAACAUACUGUACGUUGAUGUUCAACUGGUAGUUUAAAUUAUGCAGAUUAUCUCUAAUUGUUCCGUCAUAAUCUUGCAGAAGCACCAUUAGUCGCAUGAUUAACGAGUUCUCUUCUCAAUAUCUUUCCAGCAGGAGAUUUUGGUAUUGCGUUGAUGAAUGCAACGCGGCGUAUCUUUUUGUAUGGUGAGACCUGUUUUGCAAUGAUAUCUAUAAUUUGUGACUCACUAAUAGUGCUCCCAGGUCUUCUGACUAUGUAAGCCAUAGGAAUCUCCCCUGCUUCUUCAUCAGGAUAUGGAAUAACUGCUGCAUCCGCAACAUCAGGAAUAGACUGAAGUAAAUGUUCAAGCUCGGCAGGGGGGACCUGAUAUGCCUUGUACUUUAUCAGUUCUUUUAACCUAUCGACAACAUAUAGAAACCCAUCCGCGUCAAAAUAGCAGAGAUCACCAGUUUUCAGCCAACCUUCUGGAUCAAGUGUUGCUGAGGUAGCUUGUUUAUCUCCAACAUAGCCUUUCAUGAUUGUUGGAGCACGUAACCAGAGCUCUCCACGCUGUCCAGGAGGCAAGGUCUUUCCACUUUCAGGAUCAACAAUCUUAGCUUCCACAUUCACACCAAGGCGACCAGCAGAUCCGUACUGGUUUGAUUCCUCAGGGCCAUUCAUCCCUGUUGCUCCUCCAGUAGUCUCAGUCAGACCAUAUCCCUGUAAAAUCUCCACGUUAGGAAAUCUGCUCUUGAACCGCUCCGCCACCUCCUUCCCUAGCGGCGCUCCGCCGCAGGCUAGCAGUUGCAGUGAGCUGAGAUCAUACUUCAAUGCCAAAUCCGACUUAGCCAUUGCCACCACCAGUGGCGGCGACACCGGCAUGUACGUAACUCUGUACUUCUCUACCGCUGCUAACAUCUUCUCGAAAUCAAAUCUCGCCGUUAUCACCAUCGCUUCACCCAUACUCGCUAGCCUAAUCAGCAUAAAAAAUCCGAACACGUGAAACAACGGUAACGUCAUGAAAGCCACCGCUUGCUCCGUGAUUUCACUUUCAUUAGCGGCAUCAUCAUUGAAUCUGCUAUAGAACAAACUAGCGAUCAACGCGAUUAAAUUCCUGUGAGUUAACUCUACACCUUUUACUUUCCCCGUAGUUCCAGAUGAGUAGAGAAUCGCUGCCGAAUCGGAUUGGUGAAUGAUCGGGUAAGAGAUGGGAUUAGAAAUAGG